GCCCGCUUGGCUCACCGGUAGAGCGCCUCACUAGUAUACUUACCCUCUGAAGUAUCUCUAGGAAAUGAGGAGGCAACUGGUUCGACUCCAGUAGUGGGCA